rnacentral:rRNA from 1 species
CUACGGGACGCACCAGUGAGGAAUUUUGCGCAAUGGGGGAAACCCUGACGCAGCAACGCCGCGUGAGUGAUGAAGGCCUUCGGGUCGUAAAACUCUGUCAAGUGGGAAGAACCUAUGUAAGGUUAAUACCCUUAUGUACUGACGGUACCACUGAAGGAAGCACCGGCUAACUCCGUGCCAGCAGCCGCGGUAAUACGGAGGGUGCAAGCGUUAUUCGGAAUUAUUGGGCGUAAAGGGCGCGCAGGCGGUUUUGUAAGUCAGAUGUGAAAGCCCGGGGCUUAACCUCGGAAGUGCAUUUGAUACUGCAAGACUUGAGUAUGGGAGGGGGAAGUGGAAUUCCUGGUGUAGAGGUGAAAUUCGUAGAUAUCAGGAGGAACACCAGUGGCGAAGGCGACUUCCUGGACCAAUACUGACGCUGAGGCGCGAAGGCGUGGGGAGCAAACAGGAUUAGAUACCCCCGUAGUC